rnacentral:rRNA from 1 species
GACGUAGGAGGCGAGCGUUGUCCGGAUUCAUUGGGCGUAAAGAGCGCGCAGGCGGCUUGGUAAGUCGGAUGUGAAAUCCCGAGGCUCAACCUCGGGUCUGCAUCCGAUACUGCCCGGCUAGAGGUAGGUAGGGGAGAUCGGAAUUCCUGGUGUAGCGGUGAAAUGCGCAGAUAUCAGGAGGAACACCGGUGGCGAAGGCGGAUCUCUGGGCAGUAACUGACGCUGAGGAGCGAAAGCGUGGGGAGCGAACAGG